UACGUAGGGGGCGAGCGUUGUCCGGAAUUAUUGGGCGUAAAGGGCUCGUAGGCGGUUUGUCGCGUCGGGAGUGAAAACCUCGGGCUUAACUCGGGGCUUGCUUUCGAUACGGGCAGACUAGAGGUAUGCAGGGGAGAACGGAAUUCCUGGUGUAGCGGUGAAAUGCGCAGAUAUCAGGAAGAACACCCGUGGCGAAGGCGGUUCUCUGGGACGGUACUGACGCUGAGACGCGAAAGCGUGGGGAGCGAACGGG
rnacentral:rRNA from 1 species